AUUAAUAAGCGGAGGAAAAGAAACCAACCGGGAUUCCCUGAGUAAGGGCGACUGAAACGGGACUAGCCCAGCGCAUAACCUGGCGGUCGUUUGUUGGCCGUCCAGGGGUGUUGCGUUUCGGUGGAUCCUUGCCGCCCGAGCUGCUGACCGCCUAAGUCAUUGCUUGAAAGCAGCCCCAUGGAGGGUGAUAGGCCCGUGUGGCGGCGCCUGUAAAAAGGGUGAAGGCGGCCCGGGCGGACGGAUGUUGACCGUAGAGUCGGGUUGCUUAGUAGUGCAGCCCUAAGUAGGUGGUAAACUCCAUCUAAGGCUAAAUACUACCACGAGUCCGAUAGAGAACAAGUACCGUGAGGGAAAGCUGAAAAGGACUUUGAAGAGAGAGUUCAAGAGGACGUGAAACCGUUAGAAGCUUAAACGGGUGGAACGGCGAAGGUGGAGUGAGGGGAUUCAGGUCGUGGGCGUCGGGAGGCGGUUGGGUGUCGCAGAGAUGUUUUGAUGAGAGGACCUGGCAUAAACUGGUAUUGCCUGGGCUGCACCCACGCCUCCCGGCUGCCGGCGGGCUUACUUCUCCCUCGUGAUGUAUCGCCGCCAGCCGCUGGGGGGACCCCUAGGGCCGUCUGCGAUUGGUAGCCCGGACCGCAAGGGCCGGGUGAUGAGCAGUCGGUGCCGCCGGGUGCUCCCGGCGGUUGCUUGAGAAGGACCCCGCGUUGAGYGGGGUCUGGCGGCGUGGAAGGGAUCGGACAUCCACCCGACCCGUCUU
rnacentral:rRNA from 1 species